GGUAGAAUUCCAGGUGUAGCGGUGAAAUGCGUAGAGAUCUGGAGGAAUACCGGUGGCGAAGGCGGCCCCCUGGACGAAGACUGACGCUCAGGUGCGAAAGCGUGGGGAGCAAACAGGAUUAGAUACCCUGGUAGUCCACGCCGUAAACGAUGUCGACUUGGAGGUUGUGCCCUUGAGGCGUGGCUUCCGGAGCUAACGCGUUAAGUCGACCGCCUGGGGAGUACGGCCGCAAGGUUAAAACUCAAAUGAAUUGAC
rnacentral:rRNA from 1 species